rnacentral:lncRNA from 1 species
AGAGUUGCUCUUCUAACAAGUGAUGUCAACUGCGAAUAAGCAAAGAGUUUCAGAGGUUGCCAGAUUGUCACAGACGACUUUGGAGAACCCAGUUUCAUUCCCAAGGCUGCUAUCAAUAAAUCUUGCUGACGGCCCUCUUGUUUUGAUUUGUGAACUGCAGCCCUAUUAGUUUUCCUCCCCGACCAAGACUCUUUGGAUGGCAUU